CAGUCGCCGCGGGAACACGUAGGUGGCAAGCGUUGUCCGGAAUUAUUGGGCGUAAAGCGCGCGCAGGCGGAUCGGUCAGUCUGUCUUAAAAGUUCGGGGCUUAACCCCGUGAUGGGAUGGAAACUGCCAAUCUAGAGUAUCGGAGAGGAAAGUGGAAUUCCUAGUGUAGCGGUGAAAUGCGUAGAUAUUAGGAAGAACACCAGUGGCGAAGGCGACUUUCUGGACGAAAACUGACGCUGAGGCGCGAAAGCCAGGGGAGCGAACGGGAUUAGAUACCCCCGUAGUCCCUGUCUCUUAUACA
rnacentral:rRNA from 1 species